CAUGGCUCAGAUUGAACGCUGGCGGCAUGCUUUACACAUGCAAGUCGAACGGCAGCGGGGUAGUGCUUGCACUACUGCCGGCGAGUGGUGAACGGGUGAGUAAUAUAUUGGAACGUACCGAGUAAUGGGGGAUAACCAAUCGAAAGAUUGGCUAAUACCGCAUACGCUCUGAGGAGGAAAGUAGGGGACCUUCGGGCCUUGCGUUAUUCGAGCGGCCAAUAUCUGAUUAGCUAGUUGGUGGGGUAAAGGCCUACCAAGGCGACGAUCAGUAGCGGGUCUGAGAGGAUGAUCCCGCACACCGGGACCUAAACACGGCCCAGACUCCUACGG
rnacentral:rRNA from 1 species